rnacentral:rRNA from 1 species
CCUACGGGGGACAGCAGUGAGGAAUAUUGGUCAAUGGACGCAAGUCUGAACCAGCCAUGCCGCGUGCAGGAAGACGGCUCUAUGAGUUGUAAACUGCUUUUGUACGAGGGUAAACGCAGAUACGCGUAUCUGUCUGAAAGUAUCGUACGAAUAAGGAUCGGCUAACUCCGUGCCAGCAGCCGCGGUCAUACGGAGGAUUCAAGCGUUAUCCGGAGUUAUUGGGUUUAAAGGGUGCGUAGGCGGUCGGAUAAGUUAGAGGUGAAAUCCCGAGGCUCAACUUCGGAAUUGCCUAUGAUACUGUUCGGCUUGAGAGUAGUUGCGGUAGGCGGAAUGUAUGGUGUAGCGGUGAAAUGCUUAGAGAUCAUACAGAACACCGAUUGCGAAGGCAGCUUACCAAGCUACUUCUGACGUUGAGGCACGAAAGCGUGGGGAGCAAACAGGAUUAGAUACCCGGGUAGUC